UAGGGAAUCUUCCGCAAUGGGCGAAAGCCUGACGGAGCAACGCCGCGUGAGUGAUGAAGGUCUUCGGAUCGUAAAACUCUGUUAUUAGGGAAGAACAAAUGUGUAAGUAACUAUGCACGUCUUGACGGUACCUAAUCAGAAAGCCACGGCUAACUACGUGCCAGCAGCCGCGGUAAUACGUAGGUGGCAAGCGUUAUCCGGAAUUAUUGGGCGUAAAGCGCGCGUAGGCGGUUUUUGAAGUCUGAUGUGAAAGCCCACGGCUCAACCGGGGAGGGUCAUUGGAAACUGGAAAACUUGAGUGCAGAAGAGGAAAGUGGAAAUCCAUGUGUAGCGGUGAAAUGCGCAGAGAUAUGGAGGAACACCAGUGGCGAAGGCGACUUUCUGGUCUGUAACUGACGCUGAUGUGCGAAAGCGUGGGGAUCAAACAGG
rnacentral:rRNA from 1 species